rnacentral:rRNA from 2 species
ACGGGAGGCAGCAGUGGGGAAUAUUGCACAAUGGGCGCAAGCCUGAUGCAGCGACGCCGCGUGAGUGAAGAAGUAUUUCGGUAUGUAAAGCUCUAUCAGCAGGGAAGAUAAUGACAGUACCUGACUAAGAAGCUCCGGCUAAAUACGUGCCAGCAGCCGCGGUAAUACGUAUGGAGCAAGCGUUAUCCGGAUUUACUGGGUGUAAAGGGAGCGUAGGUGGCGUGGCAAGUCAGAAGUGAAAACCCAGGGCUCAACCUUGGGACUGCUUUUGAAACUGUCAUGCUAGAGUGCAGGAGAGGUAAGUGGAAUUCCUAGUGUAGCGGUGAAAUGCGUAGAUAUUAGGAGGAACACCAGUGGCGAAGGCGGCUUACUGGACUGUAACUGACACUGAGGCUCGAAAGCGUGGGUAGCAAACAGGAUUAGAUACCCUGGUA